rnacentral:rRNA from 1 species
AACGAACGCUGGCGGCAUGCCUAACACAUGCAAGUCGAACGAGACCUUCGGGUCUAGUGGCGCACGGGUGCGUAACACGUGGGAAUCUGCCCUUUGCUUCGGAAUAACAGUUAGAAAUGACUGCUAAUACCGGAUGAUGUCGAAAGACCAAAGAUUUAUCGGCAAAGGAUGAGCCCGCGUAGGAUUAGGUAGUUGGUGGGGUAAAGGCCUACCAAGCCGACGAUCCUUAGCUGGUCUGAGAGGAUGAUCAGCCACACUGGGACUGAGACACGGCACAGACUCCGCCGGGAGACAGCCUUGAGGAAUAUUGGACAAUGGGCGAAAGCCUGAUCAAGCAAUGCCGCGUGAGUGAUGAAGGCCUUAGGGUUGUAAAGAUCUUUUACCAGGGAUGAUAAUGACAGUACCUGGAGAAUAAGCUCCGGCUAACUCCGUGCCAGCAGCCGCCGUAACAC